rnacentral:rRNA from 1 species
CAGUAGCCGCGGGAAUACGAAGGGGGCUAGCGUUGUUCGGAAUCACUGGGCGUAAAGGGUGCGUAGGCGGAUUCUUAAGUCAGGGGUGAAAUCCCGAGGCUCAACCUCGGAACUGCCUUUGAUACUGGGGAUCUUGAGUCCGGAAGAGGUGAGUGGAACUGCGAGUGUAGAGGUGAAAUUCGUAGAUAUUCGCAAGAACACCGGUGGCGAAGGCGGCUCACUGGUCCGGAACUGACGCUGAGGCACGACAGCGUGGGGAGCAAACAGGAUUAGAUACCCGUGUAGUCCCUGUCUCUUAUAA